ACUAUUACGUUAGAGGAUGUUAUGGUUUUGGGGGUUACCCUGUCCUGGGAUCCCCUGUUUCAUUCUCUGUUCAGAGCAUAGAAUGGAAGAGUAUUGAAAAGGAAUCGAUGAAUGUUAGAAGAGUGGUCAGGAGGACUAAAUCUAACAAGGUCUGUUAGUAUAAAUGGAUGAAGGAUUUAAUUCAAUGUGGCAGUGAAACAGAGAACGAAGCAUUUCAUUUACUAUGGUUGUCAAGAAUUGUUUUUGCAAAAUUCUGCUCAGACAAGUAGAAAAGAGGUUUUCCACAUAGCGUUCAAUCCAACAGUUCUAGAAAGUAUUUUUAGGGAUUCGAAGUUAAUUAUUGAAUGCAAUAAUUAACGCUGCCAAAUUUAGUAAUGGUGAGGAUGUAAGCAAUGAACUAAUACUAUAAUCCCCCCUCGCCAUUUGAGUUGGUGCAACUUUGUGGAUAUAGAUGGAGACUUAAAUUAGUGAUUUUAUAAUUUUAAAA
rnacentral:misc_RNA from 1 species